UACCAGCACCCCGAGUGGUCGGGACGAUUAUUGGGCCUAAAGCAUCCGUAGCCGGUCCUGCAAGUCUUCCGUUAAAUCCACCUGCUCAACAGUUGGGCUGCGGAGGAUACUACAGCGCUAGGAGGCGGGAGAGGCAAGCGGUACUCAGUGGGUAGGGGUAAAAUCCAUUGAUCCAUUGAAGACCACCAGUGGCGAAGGCGGCUUGCCAGAACGCGCUCGACGGUGAGGGAUGAAAGCUGGGGGAGCAAACCGG
rnacentral:rRNA from 1 species